GAUGAACGCUGGCGGCGUGCUUAACACAUGCAAGUCGAACGGGAUCGGCUGGAGCUUGCUCCGGCCGUGAGAGUGGCGAACGGGUGAGUAAUGCGUGACCGACCUGCCCCAUACACCGGAAUAGCUCCUGGAAACGGGUGGUAAUGCCGGAUGCUCCAGUUGACCGCAUGGUCCUCUGGGAAAGCUUUUGCGGUAUGGGAUGGGGUCGCGUCCUAUCAGGUAGUCGGCGGGGUAACGGCCCACCGAGCCUACGACGGGUAGCCGGCCUGAGAGGGCGACCGGCCACAUUGGGACUGAGAUACGGCCCAGACUCCUACGGGAGGCAGCAGUGGGGAAUAUUGCACAAUGGGCGCAAGCCUGAUGCAGCGACGCCGCGUGCGGGAUGACGGCCUUCGGGUUGUAAACCGCUUUUGACUGGGAGCAAGCCCU
rnacentral:rRNA from 1 species